GCAAUGCAAAUCAUUCACUAACUGAUACAUGUUUGCUAACAAACCAAGAUAAAGUGCUUUACAAGUGGCCUAUCUGUGUCAAACAUUUAAAUUGCGGAGUUCUGCUUUGGAAAAGGUUUAAUAGCAGAAAAAGAAGACCCAGCACAGACACACUAAAUGCCAUGCAGGUCCUUUGAACUGCUGGAAGAGCGAGCUGGAGUAAGGUGUCACACACAUUUUGGAAACACAUGUUCCGGAUGGUUCUGAGAUCAGGCACGACCCCGCGUCUCUGUCGGCAAGGCGCUGCGUCAUGCACAGAUUUGUGCGCAGUGUGUAUUCUCCAUGUGGCCACCCAAACACAUUUGAACCCACUACUCAUCUAUGGUUUAUUCACACUUAGCUAUUCUGCAACUGUCGAAAUGGCUUCUGGAUUCUGGUUGGACAAAAGAAGAUCAGUAGGUCACACCCACAGGGCUUCAGCAAGACCCACAUGUAUUAGCCAGCUAAGAAAUUUAUUUUUUGGUUAUCAUGAAGUUCAAUGAAAUGGGCAAAUACCAACCACCGACCGGAGUCGGUGAAAAUGUUUGCUAAAUCAUUUAUAGGAAAAUAUUAAAUGGUUUAAAACAAA